GUGCUCCCUUCGGCAGCACAUGUACUAACAUUGGAAUGAUGCGGAGAAGAUUCGCAUGGCUGCUAUGCAAGGAUAAUGUAUAAAAUUUUUAUGUGAAAGUGAUACAA